rnacentral:lncRNA from 1 species
GCCCUCCUGACGAGUGCACGACGCCUGGUUUCCGCGGACGUCCCCUGCCACUGCGGACAUCUCCUGCGGACGCGGACGUGUCCUGCCGCCGCGGACGCGUCCUACCGCUGCGGACGUCUCCUGCCGCCGCGGAAGCGUCCCACCGCCGCGGACGUUUCCUGCCGCCGCAGAAGUCUCCUGCCACCGCAGACGCGUCCCACCGCCGCGGACGUCUCCUGCCGCUGUGGACGUCUCCUGCUACCGAGGUCUCCUGCCGUCACGAAUCUCAUCGGCCGUCCGUGAUCAUUGUCGGUUGCUCGCGGACGUCGCCUUUCCGGUCGUGGAUCUGCCCGCGACGUCGCCUACCUUCAGCGGAGAUCGUCUGCUGGCCACGGACAUCACCUACCACCCGCGGACUCGUCUGCCGCCCGCGGUCAUCGCGUGCCGGCCGCGGGUAUCGCUUGCCGUCCACGGACGCAGGCAGCCUGCCGCCGCAGACGUCGCCCAGCGCUCGCGGACGUCAUCCUCCCCGAAUCCUCACGGCCAACACCCUCCGUGAGAUCCCCUUCCGACCGUGUGCAGCCGGCGUAUUCACGCGUUCAUUGCCCACGCACGCGGUGAAGACUCCUCCAUCAAAAGGGGCACGCGGAAUAAUCACCAGUUUUGGUUUCGGGGCGCUGCCCCGAACCCUGCAAGGGGGCGGCUACCCCCUUGACCCCCCGCCAACUGACCGCGCAGUUGGAUCUGCGAAGACUUCGCUGAAGAUCUACAGGGGAGCGUAAUUUGGGCGAAACAAGAUCUAUAGAGAUCCGGGCGAUCAAUCGACGGGAGUACCGGUGGGGGUCGGGAAACCACCCGACGCACGUGGGUCCCGUGUGAAGUGGAGAGAACGGGGCGUGGCCCGCC